CUCGGUAGCUUAGUUGGUAAAGCGCUCGUCUAGCAUACAAGAGCGCUAGGUUCAAAUCCCAGCCAAG
rnacentral:tRNA from 1 species